GUCAGGAUGGCCAAGUGGUUUAAGGCGCUGCGUUCAGGUCGCAGUCGCAGUCGCAGUCGCAGUCAAAUUCCACUUCUGACA